ensembl:snRNA U6 U6 spliceosomal RNA
GUGCUCACUUCAGCAGCACAUACCUUCCAAGCAGAAGGAUACAGAGCAGAUGAGCUUGGCUCCUAUACUAGGAUGACCUGCAAAUUCGUGAAGCGUUCAGUAUUUUU